rnacentral:rRNA from 1 species
UACGUGGGGGGCAAGCGUUGUCCGGAAUCAUUGGGCGUAAAGAGCGUGUAGGCGGUCCGGUAAGUCGGCUGUGAAAGUCCAGGGCUCAACCCUGGGAUGCCGGUCGAUACUGCCGGACUAGAGUUCGGAAGAGACGAGUGGAAUUCCCGGUGUAGCGGUGAAAUGCGUAGAUAUCAGGAGGAACACCGGUGGCGAAGGCGGAUCUCUGGACCAGUUCUGACACUGAUGAGCGAAAGCCAGGGGAGCAAACAGG